UACGAAGGGGGCUAGCGUUGCUCGGAAUCACUGGGCGUAAAGGGUGCGUAGGCGGGUUUUUAAGUCAGAGGUGAAAUCCUGGAGCUACAACGUCCAGAACCUGCCUUUGAUACUGAAAGUCUUGAGUAUGGGAGAGGUGAGUGGAACUGCGAGUGUAGAGGUGAAAUUCGUAGAUAUUCGCAAGAACACCAGUGGCGAAGG
rnacentral:rRNA from 1 species